rnacentral:lncRNA from 1 species
AUUGGUCAACCAGGCUCCGGCGCGCUCGGCCAAUCAGAAAGGACGAUGGGGAGCGGGGGCGGGGAGAGCGAGCGGAAAGGGGAAGCGAGCGGUGCUGGGAGUAAGGGGCCGGCGGUCGGGAGGUCUGGGCGGGGCGGGGCGGGGCGGGGCGCGAGAGGACAGAGGAGGCGGGGCCGCGCGCCUCCGUAGCCCGAGGGCGGAAGCGAGAGAGAAUGAGGAGGCAAGAGGGGAGCCGCGGCUGCGGGGAGGCUCGGGACGAGUGGGUUUGUUCCGGUUGUCCUUCCGCUGCAGACGUCCGGGGCCCAGGCCCGAAGCCGAGGGGGAAGUCCAAAAUGCUGUAAUUGUACAAUUUAAAGGAAAAGGAAAAAGCUCUCUCGGCAGUUUCUACUCAUCCUGCCCAGUAGAUGGCACACAGCUGAGCUGCUGCUGCACUGCCAUUCCUUCGUUGUUCCGUGAGGACGUGGGUGCUGAGGAGCGACCUGGGAUGCCAAGGAGCACCCACAAAGAGGAAGGGACGAUUC